rnacentral:rRNA from 1 species
GUAGGUGGCAAGCGUUGUCCGGAAUUAUUGGGCGUAAAGCGCGCGCAGGUGGUUCUUUAAGUCUGAUGUGAAAGCCCCCGGCUCAACCGGGGAGGGUCAUUGGAAACUGGGGAACUUGAGUGCAGGAGAGGAAAGUGGAAUUCCACGUGUAGCGGUGAAAUGCGUAGAUAUGUGGAGGAACACCAGUGGCGAAGGCGACUUUCUGGCCUGUGACUGACACUGAGGCGCGAAAGCGUGGGGAGCAAACAGGGAUUAGAUACCCUGGUAGUCCACGCCGUAAACGAUGAGUGCUAAGUGUUGGGGGGGUUUCCCGCCCCUCAGUGCUGCAGCUAACGCAUUAAGCACUCCGCCUGGGGAGUACGGUCGCAAGACUA